rnacentral:rRNA from 1 species
CUACGGGGGGCAGCAGUGAGGAAUAUUGCACAAUGGAGGAAACUCUGAUGCAGCAACGCCGCGUGGAGGAUGACGCAUUUCGGUGUGUAAACUCCUUUUAUGAGUCAAGAAAAUGACGGUAGCUCAUGAAUAAGCACCGGCUAACUCCGUGCCAGCAGCCGCGGUAAUACGGAGGGUGCAAGCGUUACUCGGAACCACUGGGCGUAAAGGACGCGUAGGCGGGAUAUCAAGUCAGGUGUGAAAUCCUGCAGCUUAACUGUAGAACUGCACUUGAAACUGGUAACCUAGAGUAUGGGAGGGGGAGAUGGAAUUAGUGGUGUAGGGGUAAAAUCCGUAGAUAUCACUAGGAAUACCUAAAGCGAAGGCGAUCUCCUGGAACAUAACUGACGCUAAGGCGUGAAAGCGUGGGGAGCAAACAGGAUUAGAUACCCGCGUAGUC